rnacentral:rRNA from 1 species
AUGGCAUACUAUAUAUAUGUUAACAUUAAAACACUAUGCCAUCCCUCCUCUCCCUCCUUACUGUCCCUUCGCCUAGACCAGGAGGAUGAUUUCCGAGGACUACGUUGUGUAGGCAAGAACCAUCAAGAAUUGGAGUUCCUCUCGGUGAUAAAUGCUUACAUAUAUUGUAUGCUUGCUCACGACCAUCUACAAGACAGAGCGGGUGAAAAGGUACACAUUAUUAGCACGUUUGUAUCUGGUCAGAUAAAAGAAGAAGGUGAAAGAGACAUCGACCCAUCAAAAUAUCGUCGCAUCGUGCGUCAUGUUAAUACUUAUCUACAGCAAGAUAUGUUAUUCAUUCCGAUUAACAUGCCGGGCUACCAUUGGUAUCUAGCAGUCGCUAAUGCCAAAAAACGAGAGAUCCAAGUAUUAGACUCACUUGGUGAGAAUGUCAAACGCAAUGACCUUGCUACUACGUUACGGGGGCUCGAGAAAUGGCUGAAACUUGCAUAG